CCUUUCUCAUAUUGACUUAACUCUGAUCUAGUCCCCUUAUGUACUGCAAACUCUUGCUAAGAUCCUCACUAAGCCCAUCUGGUGGUGCUGUAUAUAUUCUUAAUUUUCUUCUCUUUGCCUCUUGAAGAUUGGAUGACUUCCUCAUAGUCCCAGUCAUUGACUGGAAUUCCAUUGAUCACUCAUGAAUAUUGGAAACAUGAUUCUCAAACCAUUUAAUUUGGAGAAUAUACUCCUAUAGCUGUGUUAUGCCUACACAAUUUUACUUCCUUAGUGAUUGAAAUAUUUUUGGCUCCAAAUCUUAGUUUGAGGUGCCUCUUGUGACUAUUUUUAUUUUUAAUCCCCAGCUAUUAUUGCUAUCCAGUCUCAAAUUUUAUUCCUGUUCUUAUAGGCUACUGAGACCCUAACAUAUCUUACAUCUGAGGCUGCUCAGUUUUUGUUCAGAAUAGCCACGUCUUUGGUCUUGUCAUUUGGUGUUAAUAUAUUAAGGUGAUUGAAUUAGUCAUCUCUGUGAUUCUUUUCUUAUUCUAUGCAGUUGCAAUUUAAAAAGACUUCACUGGUACAUGGUUAUGGACACUACUUAGUAUCUUAAAUAUAUGAGAGAUUCUAAAGGGCUCCACAUACAGAAAGAUUCAAGUGCAUGUUUUAUUGAUUAUGGAAUGGCUACUGUCAUGAUAUAAAAUG
rnacentral:lncRNA from 1 species